rnacentral:lncRNA from 10 species
CUCUCAUCUCCAACCAGAAGGAACUAUGAGAGAGAGAGAGAAAGAGAGAGAGAGAGAAAGAGAGAGAGAGAGAAUAUGUGCUCAUCUUAGGAUAAGACUGUCAGAUAAAAUACUAGACACUCUAUGAAACUUGAAUUUCAUAUAAAUAGCAAGUAAUUUUUUAGUAUAAUUAUGUCCCAAAUACUGCAUGGGACAUACUCAUACUAAAAAAAAUUGUCUAUAUGAAAGUGAAAUUUAAAUAGACAUCCUGUAUUUUUUUCUUCCUUUUUCUAGCAACCCAGUGAUUCCAUGGAAAGCAGAAAGAAGGACAUAAAGAAACGGAUACUUGGUGACAUCUUUGACUCACUGGAUCAAACCUUGCCUGAAGCUCACAUUUCUGAAAUUUCCAGAUACAAGAACAAAUACUUCCUCUUUAUUGUUUUACUAGAUUUGAGACAAGCUUUAAGUUUCUCAGACUCUUCCUCUUCCUAACAGAUUUAUCAGAAGCUGAAAGCUCUGAUCUUGUUGGGAUGCGGAUCGUGUCAGGAGAAGGCUUACUUUGCACGCUUUUCUUAGUCUGGUUGCCUAACUCAAGAACCUCGGCAUGGCUCUGUUACUUCUCUACUCAGACAAGCAUCCCUGCAGACACUCACUAGGCUAACUCUGUCUUUAUUUUUAGAAUUAGACCUUUACGAGAAGCACAGUUUUGUCUUCAGUUUCCUCUCCCCCCACCCGGAAUGGCCUGAGCCGAAGCCAGCUCCCUCCGAGAAGUCAUUACCGCCUGACUUGCGUUUGAUAUUUAGACACCUUGGUCACAACAUCUUGCAUUCUCUCGGGAUGCUGAUUUCUAACUGCUCUUUGGCCUUUCCUGCAUUGGUCCUCCUCAGGCAGGGGAUCCCUGCUCUUCUAUAUUAGUGAGAAAACCAAGGCUCAGAGAAACUGUGGAUUUUCUAAGGAUGCUGGCUCCCCGUCCCCUGUCCACCAUGAGUCAAAGCAAUGUGAGUCCCUCACCAGAUGCAACUGCCCAGUCUUGGACUUUCCAGUGACCAGAAUCAUGAGCCAAAUAAAC